CUAGGACCAGCGCGUGGAUCGCUGAGAGCCCACCCGAAUCUGCUCUUCCCCACGCAACAGGCCGUUGAGGCUACGGGACAAGCUGUAUUAUAUGUUUCCUGCUUUUGGCAGGAUUAGGAGUUGAACCCAGGGUCUUCACACUGAGUGACAUCCCCAGACCUUUUUAUCUUUUGUUUUUGGAUAAGGCCUCGACCCUUAAGUCGCUAAAUUGCCCAGGCUGAGCUAUAAUUUGAAAUCUUUCUUCCUCAGCCUAAUAGUGUGUUGGGGUUACAGACAUGCACAACUGGCUAACAGACAAGGUGUGGAGGCAAAAAGACAUCUUUAUUCAAGAAUUUACCUGCCAGAGAAGAUGGAGAACCCUUGCUUAAAUUCUGUCUUGCUGAGGGCCGAUUGGGAGGUGGUGACCUGAGGCCAAUGGGCAGCACCUCAGAGGGAGGUCUGUGGCCACAUAACCUUCUUCGAUCACAUCCAGUCCCGAGGUGCUCCUCCAUUCCGCAGUUCUCAUCCAUGGCUUCCUGUUAUUUACUUAUCCUUCUCUGCCAGCCUGGGCAACUUAGCAAGACCAGGUCUCAAAAUAAAAUGGACAAAGACUGGGGUGGGGCUCACUGGCUGAGCGCUUCGCAUGCACAAGGCCCUGGGACGACCCAUGCACUAAACAUGGAACACGAGCAAGUUAAAAAAUAUGUGUGUCCCAUCUUAGGGAAGGCACCGAGGCCACUGGACUGUGCCCUUUGGCUCGGAGGGACCCACAGCCCACCAGAUGGGCGUGAGGCUCUCUGUGCAGAAGCUUGGGCCUGGGCAUUUCAGGGAGCCCUGGGAUGUGAACUCAGGCCCCAGGAGGAGCCAUCCCACACACAUUGCCUACUGGCUGCACGGGACUCCUCGCUGGGGUAGAGGAUGGGCACUGACGGGGCUUCUCGAGUCCAUGAUGGACAUUUCCAUAGAUAAAUAUUCUGCCCAGAUGUUAAUUUUCCUUCAAAUAAAGUAUCUGAGUUGACCA